rnacentral:rRNA from 1 species
GUGGGGAAUUGUUCGCAAUGGGCGCAAGCCUGACGACGCAACGCCGCGUGGAGGAUGAAGACCCUCGGGUCGUAAACUCCUUUCGAUCGAGACGAACGGCCUCCGGGUGAACAAUCCGGAGGAGUGACGGUACCGAGAGAAGAAGCCCCGGCUAACUCCGUGCCAGCAGCCGCGGUAAUACGGGGGGGGCAAGCGUUGUUCGGAAUUACUGGGCGUAAAGGGCUCGUAGGCGGCCAACUAAGUCAGACGUGAAAUCCCUCGGCUUAACCGGGGAACUGCGUCUGAUACUGGAUGGCUUGAAUCCGGGAGAGGGAUGCGGAAUUCCAGGUGUAGCGGUGAAAUGCGUAGAUAUCUGGAGGAACACCGGUGGCGAAGGCGGCAUCCUGGACCGGUAUUGACGCUGAGGAGCGAAAGCCAGGGGAGCAAACGGGAUUAGAUACCCCGGUAGUCC